AAAAAAUAAAAAUAAAAAUAAAAAAAUAAAAGAUUAUCUGAAAGAGUAUCUGAAUCCAGGACUGAGGCUGUAGGUAAUCUGAGAAAGUAUCUUGGAGGAAGGAAAAUGGGAGGAAAAGAACAUUGUGUGAAGGACUUAAGAAAGGUGACUCAAGGAAAGUGGGAAGGCAAGGGUAUCCAGAUAAGAUUGGCCCCAUUGGUCCUGGGUUGAUAUGACAGGGGUGAGGAAGGGUCCUGGAGGGAGAGAUCCUGGGGGUAGCAGCAGAUGCCGCAGGGUCUCGGAAACCAUGGCAGGCACUAAGAAGACACGUGGGCUUCCCUCCACCUCAUGGACAAGGACCUUCAUUUAUUCAUUCUUUCCUACACUUGACAAAUUCUUACUGAGAUCUUAUUAGGCGCCAGGCACUGUGUUUGGUGCUGAAUAUUCAGGAAUGAGCACAAUGGGUCUGGUUCCUACCCUCCUAGAGAUUACAGUCCAGUGGGAGAGACUGACAGUAAACAUAUUAAUAUGUUACAGUUGGGCCAAGUCUACAAAGGAUAGGGUAUGAUAACAUGUAUGAUGGGUGGUUCCCUAGGGAGAAGUUUCCCUAGGGAGUGACAGUCACCCAGAGUGCUGAUGGGUGGAGGUCUUUUUUGCCAGCCCCCUGCCAAGCUUUCGUCCUGGACUUUCCUGCAUUCCUCUGCACUGUCCCUUUAAGAGGAGCAUCUCUUCCCUGAGCAAAGGCAGUUCGGGCACACAGCCUGAGCCUGCCAAGGUUGUGGGCCAUAAAUCAACGCUGGCACUCCCUUGGCAGUGGGCUCUCCUCUGAGCUGCCCAGAUGGCAGGCUCCUGAUGGCAGCUGCCCACUUCUGUCUAAGGGCCCUAGGCCAGGGAAAAUGCCAAAGUCCUUCUAUUCUAGUCCCAGGGACCUUCUGACUCCCAAGUCAGUCUAGCAUGGGGCUGUUGAGAUUAUUGUUCCCACCCCAGCCAGGGACCAGGGCCUCAUAGGCAUCCUCUGAGACCAAGGGUCUUGGAUGAUCUCUUGGGAUCACAGUCUGCUCUAACAUUCAACCUGAAAGUUCUGCCUGUGGUUUGACCUUCUUUCCUCUUGCUGUAGCCAAGGUGUCUUCUUUUACCCUGCAUGAAAGAUGAAAGACGGUAGCUCCCCAUUUAGUGGGGGCUUUGGGACUGUGUGAUAUCUCCCUCCGCCUUCACUUUAAGCCUCCCAGAAAAGCAGGAUAAAAAGAUGCUUCAAAGUCAGUUGGAGAGAUGGAACUCUGCCCUCUUGGGGGUUGCCAUCCCUCUGCCACCCUCACAGGUGCUGUGACAGAGGGAACAUAUGUUGCUCCUACCCCAGAGGAUGGAGACAACAUCUUAGCAGCCACAGCCCCACAGAGCUGGGCUCAGCAGGCCUUGACAGAACUGAAAAGGCAUCCUCUCUCCUGGGCCUGGGCCUGGCCUAAGCCUGGGUUGUGGGCGGAGGGGUGGAAGCAAAGCCUGUAGACCCCUUCCAGAAAGGAAUCAACAGGCUUGACUGCUCUCCCCACGCUCACUCCCAAACAGUAGAACAGUGGAAAAUUCAUGGGUUCCAGAACAAUAGAGAUUUCCUGGGAUGUCCUUGUCCUCAGAUUCUCUGUGAGAAGUCAGAGUUUACAAGUCCUUAGAGAUUCUUUCUCACACACUCAUCAUACAGAUGAGGAAACUGAGAUGCAGAGAAGUUCACCCAGGUCUUUUUCAGGUUGUUUUUACUACACCACAUUUGCCACAUGAACAGAAACUCCCAGAGCUACCACUAAGCAGGAUGUAUUAGACUCUAAAUGUAGUAGCAUAGAUGGAGGUUAGGUAACAAGUAGAACUUUCUCAGAAUAGUAGGUCACAGAAGAAGAUGA
rnacentral:lncRNA from 10 species